rnacentral:misc_RNA from 1 species
GAUGAAGAACGUAGCGAAAUGCGAUAAGUAGUGUGAAUUGCAGAAUUCAGUGAAUCAUCGAAUCUUUGAACGCACAUUGCGCCCCUUGGUAUCCCGAGGGGCAUGCCUGUUCGAGCGUCAUUUCACCACUCAAGCCUGGCUUGGUGUUGGGCGACGUCCUCUUUGGGGACGCGCCUCGAAACGCUCGGCGGCGUGGCACCGGCUUUAAGCGUAGCAGAAUCUUUCGCUUUGGAAGUCGGGGCCCCGUCUGCCGGAAGACCUGCUCGCAAGGUUGACCUCGGAUCAGGCAGGGAUACCCGCUGAACUUAAGCAUAUCAAUAUGCGGAGGA